UGGGGAAUUUUGCACAAUGGAGGAAACUCUGAUGCAGCGACGCCGCGUGAGUGAUGAAGAUCUUCGGAUUGUAAAACUCUGUCCUUAGUGAAGACAAUGACAGUAACUAAGAAGCAAGCCCUGGCUAAAUACGUGCCAGCAGCCGCGGUAAUACGUAUGGGGCAAGCGUUGUCCGGAAUUAUUGGGCGUAAAGGGUACGUAGGCGGUUUAAUAAGUCCUAAUUAAAAGGCUAUGGCUCAACCAUAGUAUGGUUAGGAAACUGUUGAACUUGAGUAGAUGAGGGGAAAGUGGAAUUCCAUGUGUAGCGGUGAAAUGCGUAGAUAUAUGGAGGAACACCAAUGGCGAAGGCAACUUUCUGGAAUCAAACUGACGCUGAGGUACGAAGGCGUGGGGAGCAAACAGG
rnacentral:rRNA from 1 species